AGAUUAAGUUAUUAAGGGCGCACGGUGGAUGCCUUGGCACUAGAAGCCGACGAAGGACGUUACUAACGACGAUAUGCUUUGGGUAGCUGUAAGUAAGCGUUGAUCCAGAGAUUUCCGAAUGGGGGAACCCAGCACGAGUUAUGUCGUGUUAUCGACAAGUGAAUUCAUAGCUUGUCAGAAGGCAGACCCGGAGAACUGAAACAUCUUAGUACCCGGAGGAAGAGAAAGAAAAAUCGAUUCCCUGAGUAGCGGCGAGCGAAACGGGAAGAGCCCAAACCAAUAAGCUUGCUUAUUGGGGUUGUAGGACACUCUAUACGGAGUUACAAAGGAAUAUAUUAGACGAAUCAUCUGGAAAGUUGAAUCAAAGAAGGUAAUAAUCCUGUAGUUGAAAAUAUAUUCUCUCUUGAGUGGAUCCUGAGUACGACGGAGCACGUGAAAUUCCGUCGGAAUCUGGGAGGACCAUCUCCUAAGGCUAAAUACUCUCUAGUGACCGAUAGUGAACCAGUACCGUGAGGGAAAGGUGAAAAGUACCCCGGAAGGGGAGUGAAAGAGAACUUGAAACCGUGUGCUUACAAGUAGUCAGAGCCCGUUAAUGGGUGAUGGCGUGCCUUUUGUAGAAUGAACCGGCGAGUUACGAUCUGAUGCAAGGUUAAGCAGGAGAUGUGGAGCCGUAGCGAAAGCGAGUCUGAAUAGGGCGUUGAGUAUUUGGUCGUAGACCCGAAACCAGGUGAUCUACCCAUGGUCAGGUUGAAGUUCAGGUAACACUGAAUGGAGGACCGAACCGACUUACGUUGAAAAGUGAGCGGAUGAACUGUGGGUAGCGGAGAAAUUCCAAUCGAACUUGGAGAUAGCUGGUUCUCUCCGAAAUAGCUUUAGGGCUAGCCUCAAGUGAUGAUUAUUGGAGGUAGAGCACUGUUUGGACGAGGGGCCCCUCUCGGGUUACCGAAUUCAGACAAACUCCGAAUGCCAAUUAAUUUAACUUGGGAGUCAGAACAUGGGUGAUAAGGUCCGUGUUCGAAAGGGAAACAGCCCAGACCACCAGCUAAGGUCCCAAAAUAUAUGUUAAGUGGAAAAGGAUGUGGCGUUGCCCAGACAACUAGGAUGUUGGCUUAGAAGCAGCCAUCAUUUAAAGAGUGCGUAAUAGCUCACUAGUCGAGUGACACUGCGCCGAAAAUGUACCGGGGCUAAACAUAUUACCGAAGCUGUGGAUUGUCCGUAGGACAAUGGUAGGAGAGCGUUCUAAGGGCGUUGAAGCAUGAUCGCAAGGACAUGUGGAGCGCUUAGAAGUGAGAAUGCCGGUGUGAGUAGCGAAAGACGGGUGAGAAUCCCGUCCACCGAUUGACUAAGGUUUCCAGAGGAAGGCUCGUCCGCUCUGGGUUAGUCGGGUCCUAAGCUGAGGCCGACAGGCGUAGGCGAUGGAUAACAGGUUGAUAUUCCUGUACCACCUAGCAUCGUUUUAAUCGAUGGGGGGACGCAGUAGGAUAGGCGAAGCGUACGAUUGGAUUGUACGUCUNNNNNNNNNNNNNNNNNNNNNNNNNNNNNNNNNNNNNNNNNNNNNNNNNNNNNNNNNNNNNNNNNNNNNNNNNNNNNNNNNNNNNNNNNNNNNNNNNUGGUUAGCUUCUGCGAAGCUACGAAUCGAAGCCCCAGUAAACGGCGGCCGUAACUAUAACGGUCCUAAGGUAGCGAAAUUCCUUGUCGGGUAAGUUCCGACCCGCACGAAAGGCGUAACGAUUUGGGCACUGUCUCAACGAGAGACUCGGUGAAAUCAUAGUACCUGUGAAGAUGCAGGUUACCCGCGACAGGACGGAAAGACCCCGUGGAGCUUUACUGUAGCCUGAUAUUGAAAUUCGGCACAGCUUGUACAGGAUAGGUAGGAGCCUUUGAAACGUGAGCGCUAGCUUACGUGGAGGCGCUGGUGGGAUACUACCCUAGCUGUGUUGGCUUUCUAACCCGCACCACUUAUCGUGGUGGGAGACAGUGUCAGGCGGGCAGUUUGACUGGGGCGGUCGCCUCCUAAAAGGUAACGGAGGCGCUCAAAGGUUCCCUCAGAAUGGUUGGAAAUCAUUCAUAGAGUGUAAAGGCAUAAGGGAGCUUGACUGCGAGACCUACAAGUCGAGCAGGGUCGAAAGACGGACUUAGUGAUCCGGUGGUUCCGCAUGGAAGGGCCAUCGCUCAACGGAUAAAAGCUACCCCGGGGAUAACAGGCUUAUCUCCCCCAAGAGUUCACAUCGACGGGGAGGUUUGGCACCUCGAUGUCGGCUCAUCGCAUCCUGGGGCUGUAGUCGGUCCCAAGGGUUGGGCUGUUCGCCCAUUAAAGCGGUACGCGAGCUGGGUUCAGAACGUCGUGAGACAGUUCGGUCCCUAUCCGUCGUGGGCGUAGGAAAUUUGAGAGGAGCUGUCCUUAGUACGAGAGGACCGGGAUGGACAUACCUCUGGUGUACCAGUUGUCGUGCCAACGGCAUAGCUGGGUAGCUAUGUAUGGACGGGAUAAGUGCUGAAAGCAUCUAAGCAUGAAGCCCCCCUCAAGAUGAGAUUUCCCAACUUCGGUUAUAAGAUCCCUCAAAGAUGAUGAGGUUAAUAGGUUCGAGGUGGAAGCGUGGUGACACGUGGAGCUGACGAAUACUAAUCGAUCGAAGACUUAAUCAAUUU
rnacentral:rRNA from 1 species